CUCUCUAAAACCCUCUCCAUUUGGUUUUAAUUUGGGUUAUUCAUGGUUCCUUCUGAUUUCUCCUGGUUGCCCAAAACCCCAAUUCCUUCUUCUCAAAUCCCAGCGAAAUCCCAUCAAUCCCCACAACUUAUGCUUGUAAAAUGGUGCCGUGUAACUCCUCAAAGAAGAAUCUUUCUCUAUUCCGCCAUUAGAGCUUCGAACGCAAGCGCUGCCGCCGAGUCUUCUUCUUCUUCUUCUCCGGGACUCUACUAGGCCAAGCAAUUUGAGCUCACAGUUCCCAACAUUGACUUGGUUCUCAAGGACGUCCGCCCCUAUCUCAUCAACUAUGGUGGAAACGUCGACGUUGUGUCCGUCGAAGACGGCAUCGUUUCUCUCAAGCUCCAAGGGGCUUGUGGAAGCUGUCCUAGCUCAACAACCACCAUGAAAAUUGGGAUUGAACGAGUGCUUAAAGAAAAGUCUGGAGAUGCACUCAAGGAUAUUCAACAAGUCUUUGAUGAAGAAAACAGAAUGACCACAGUUGAGGCAGUCUCGACACAUUGAGGCCGACGAAGAAUUUUGAACUAUUGAUGCUAUAUGGUAGCAUGUUGCCAAUUGCAAUACGUGCAGUUUUUCUAACUCAAAUAGGAAAGGCACAUUCCUUGAAGAUAGAGAAAAUUUUGUUUCAAGGCAAAUCGGACUAUUAGAAUGUGAUGGUCUUCCGGGUUCUCGUCCUAGAUGGGGUGAUUCAGCUGACAGAAAGGGAUGAAUGUGUCUAUCAAGAAAUCAUUACUCAUCUUCCUCUCUGCCCAAUUCCAAACCCCAAGAAGGUUUUGGUUAUCGGUGGAGGAGAUGGUGGUGUACUGAGGGAAGUGGCUAGUCAUUCUUCUAUCAAGCAAAUAGAUAUAUGUUUCAAAACAGUUUUUCUCUCGUGUAGCUAUUGGAUAUGAGGAUCCCAGGGUGACACUCCAUGUUGGUGAUGCUUCCUCAUUAGCUCUCUGUUAAUGUCGUAGGAGUCGCAUUUUCAAAGGCUGUUCUAGCAGGAACUUAUGAUGCAAUAUUUGUGGACUCUUCUGAUCCCAUAGGUUUCAUUUAACAGCUGCUGCAGUGAAAAGAGGUUUAGUUUUGAAUUUCAUUCAGCUUUUUUGUUGUUUAGUUAAAAAAAAAAAAAAUUCUCCAAGUUUGAUCGUCACAGACCCCAUCCAAAACUAAUCUUUAGACCAUAAUUGAUAUCAUCCCAAAACUAAUCUGUGCUUUUGUAGUUUGAGUUUGAAGAAGCGGAAGAAGAAGGAGAAGUUCCAAAUGCAGCUUGCCAAGAAAGAUCGAAGGUGCUUUUGUUCAAGGAAUUGGGUUUUUCAUGCUUGAAGAAUACAUAGAAAAUUCUGAGGGAUUGGUGAUUUCUAAUGGUACAUGGAUGUAUAAAAUUCCUUCCAUAGACACUAUACCCAAGCAGUUCAAUGUCGAAAUACUAAAUAGUGGACAUGCAACACAGUAAUCGUGUUCUCUCUUCAAAAGGAUGACUUCGCUUUCUGGCAAAUCCACAUUGUACAAUAAACAUUAAUUAUAGUUUCAUUUCCAACCAAGUGGGCAGCAAAGACUCGGAAAGUAUACACCCAAGAGGAACUUGACGAGGUCCGCAUUGAAGUACCUGACUAUUUGCAGACUUUGCUAUAGAUGCUGACUCUACCAAAGUGAUUUUGAGUAAGGCUAGCUAGAUUUUGUAGAACCAUUUUGAAGUAGAACGUUGUACAGUUGCAGGUGAACUAAACUGCAUAUAGUUAUUGCAAUAGUCUAUUUUGGGCUAGCCUUGAUGUAGGUUAGGGUGUUUUUGCCUAUUUUUGGAACUAUUAACAAUUCUGAUGUUGGACAGAAAUUAAUGCAAUGCCCCAUAUUCAAUUAAUUCGAAAUUUCAUGUU